GGGGGGGGGGGGGGGGGGGAGUGGCCACGAAUGCGCGUCGUCGUCGUUUUAGAGGCGCGGGCGGCCCUGCCCUUUGCCCGCAACAAUAAAUUCGGUUACUUAACGCGGGCAAUGGAACGAAACUUCUCCCCGUGCGGUGAUGUUAAAUAUGAUGUAAUCACAGUACUACGGAUCGCAGCACAGAGAGAGAGAGAGAGAGAGUGAUCUUUUUAGGACAGUGGUUACUUCGUUUUAGGAUGUGGAGAUCGUCUUGUCUUUUGUUGAGUCGGACUCUCAAGUCGGCGGCUCGCUGCGGGCCGUCGCCGCCGCUAGGGUUGAGCCGCCUGUGCGCCGCCGCCGCGUUCUCGACGGAGGGGAGUUCCUGCGGCGGCGGCGGCGGCGGCGGGGGGGAAGGGGAGAGCAUUUCGUUCGCCGAGGCGAAGAGGCUGAUGAGGCUGGUGAAUGUGGAUGCUUUGAAGAUGAAGCUCGGCACGGAGGGGAAGGAGGUGAUCGGCUACUCCGAUCUCCUCCAGGCCUGCGAGGCCAUGGGCGUAGCUAAAUCGCGCGACGAGGCCACCGCCUUUGCGCGCGUUCUCGACGAGGCCGGUGUUAUUCUUCUCUUCAGAGAUAAAGUUUAUCUUCAUCCUGAUAAGGUCGUGGAUCUGGUUAGAAGAGCAGUGCCCCUUGUGCUGUCUUCUGAAGAUGACCCCAGGAGGGAAGAGCUAAAAAUGCUGCAGGAGAAUAAGGGAAAAAUUGACAUGCUGGCUCACAGACAGGUCCGGCGCAUCCUUUGGUCAGGGCUAGGAAUGGCUAUUGUACAGGUCGGGCUCUUCUUUCGCCUGACAUUCUGGGAAUUCUCUUGGGAUGUUAUGGAGCCAAUUGCAUUUUUCGCCACAGCCACUGGCAUAGUCAUUGGUUAUGCCUACUUCCUUUUUACCUCAAGAGACCCAUCUUACCAGGACCUAAUGAAGCGGCUAUAUCUAUCGAGGCAGAGGAGGCUGAUCAAGAAGCAUAAUUUCGAUGUCAACAGGUUCAUGGAAUUACAGAAGCAAUGCAAGCAUCCCUUAGAUGCUUCUCCAAUCACCAAAAAUAGUAGAGGGGCAGAACUCGAACCUGAAGAUGCUUUUCAUUAGGGGAGGGACGAUCUGUUGCUCGACGCAGGUGGGGGAUGGGCGUGGGUCCCACCCCCCAUGGGGCCCAGGCCCCCCUCUCCGCGUCGGGUAAAUCUUAUGUUGCCUGAGUUUCGUUCAUUAGGGGGGCGACACUAAUUUUUGUCUUAUGCAACUUAUGAGGUGUGGGGAGUACACAACUUUAAGCUCUUUACUGGCUUAUGACCAAACACAUUUAAUAUCUCCGUUUGGUGAAUCUCUCUUCCCAUCCCAGAGGAGACUCCCACAUCAGAUUAAAGAUCCUGACUUCGAAGUCUGCUAAAACUGUACAAUGUCUUUAGGAUCACUGUUGAGAUCCAUAUAUUGGUGACCCAAUGAUCUGAAAUGAAAUUCUAUAGUGCUUGGUCUUAGUAGGAGACUUUGUUUUGGUUUUGCCUUUUUCUUUUGAAGAAGAAGAAGAAG